ensembl:ncRNA C11G10.5 ncRNA
AAUAAAGGUGGAUAGAUUAUAAGGUUUGUUGAACCUACACCACACCCCGACGAACCCAUAAACCGCGCCGUCGGCAAAAGCUCGACGAGCGCCGCCUCCUCCUGACUGGUUCCGCCAAAUUUGACUUGACGUUGUAAAAUGGGUUUUUU